AACUAGCAUGGUGGCCCGUGCAAAUUGCGCGGCUAGCAUCAUUAUUUUUUCUCUCAUAUAAUAGCAUAUAUGUUUUCUCAUUAUAUUAUUCAAAUAUAUUAAAAUGACAACAUAAUUUUAAAUUUUGCAAUAACUUUACAAAACUACUAAUGUGUAAUAUUCAUAUUAUAUUUUAUAUACGUGAUAGUUAUUAAUUAUUUUUAAUAUCAAAUUUUAGUUAUUUGUAAAUUAUAUAUAUUCCUAUAUGGAUUCUAGACUUGUCUUUUAAUAUUUCUUUUUUUAAUUCUGAAUUUUCUGUAAAUUGUAUUUCUAUAUAGACUAUAUGAUUUUCUUCCAAUAUUAUUUAUUUUUAUUUCUGAUUUUUCAUAUUAUAUUUUAUAUACUUGUUAGUUAUUAAUUAUUUUUAAUAUCAAAUUUUAGUUAUUUUUAUAUUAUAUAUAUUCCUAUAUGGACUCUAGACUCGUCUUUUAAUAUAUUUUUUUAAUUCCGCAUUUUCUGUAAAUUGUAUUUUUAUAUAGACUCUAUGCUCUUCCUCCAAUAUUAUUUAUUUUUAUUUCUGAAUUUUUAUUAUUUCUAAUUGUAUUUCUAUGUGGACUCUAAACUCAUCUUUUAAUAUUAUUUAAUUUUUUAAUUUUGAAUUUCAGUUACUUCUAAAUUGUAUUCCUAU
rnacentral:sRNA from 1 species